UGCCUCUGUACAGAGUGACAUCAAACUGUGGCCUUUUAAGGUUACUCCUGGACCUGGUGACAAGCCAAUGAUUGUUGUUAACUACAAGGGAGAAGAGAAACAGUUUUCUGCUGAAGAAAUCUCUUCCAUGGUUCUUAUUAAGAUGAAGGAAAUUGCCGAGGCCUUCCUUGGGUCAACAGUGAAGAAUGCUGUGGUUACUGUGCCUGCAUACUUCAAUGACUCGCAACGUCAGGCUACUAAGGAUGCUGGUGUCAUAUCUGGCUUGAAUGUCAUGCGUAUUAUUAAUGAGCCCACAGCAGCUGCCAUUGCCUAUGGUCUUGACAAAAAGGCCACUAGUGUUGGUGAGAAGAAUGUUCUUAUCUUUGAUCUCGGUGGUGGUACCUUUGAUGUGUCCCUCCUCACUAUUGAAGAGGGUAUCUUUGAGGUGAAAGCCACAGCAGGAGACACUCACCUUGGUGGUGAAGAUUUUGAUAACAGAAUGGUGAACCAUUUUGUCCAGGAAUUCAAGAGAAAGCACAAGAAGGAUAUCACUGGUAACCCAAGAGCUCUAAGAAGAUUAAGGACAGCUUGUGAGAGGGCUAAGAGAACUCUCUCU
rnacentral:misc_RNA from 1 species